rnacentral:rRNA from 1 species
UCAGAUUGAACGCUGGCGGAAUGCUUUACACAUGCAAGUCGAACGGCAGCACGGGGGCAACCCUGGUGGCGAGUGGCGAACGGGUGAGUAAUAUAUCGGAACGUGCCCAGUCGUGGGGGAUAACGUAGCGAAAGUUACGCUAAUACCGCAUACGAUCUACGGAUGAAAGCGGGGGAUCGCAAGACCUCGCGCGAUUGGAGCGGCCGAUAUCAGAUUAGGUAGUUGGUGGGGUAAAGGCUCACCAAGCCAACGAUCUGUAGCUGGUCUGAGAGGACGACCAGCCACACUGGGACUGAGACACGGCCCAGACUCCUACGGGAGGCAGCAGUGGGGAAUUUUGGACAAUGGACGCAAGUCUGAUCCAGCCAUUCCGCGUGCAGGACGAAGGCCUUCGGGUUGUAAACUGCUUUUGUACGGAACGAAAAAGCUCUUACUAAUACUAGGAGUCCAUGACGGUACCGUAAGAAUAAGCACCGGCUAACUACGUGCCAGCAGCCGCGGUAAUACGUAGGGUGCGAGCGUUAAUCGGAAUUACUGGGCGUAAAGCGUGCGCAGGCGGUUAUAUAAGACAGAUGUGAAAUCCCCGGGCUCAACCUGGGAACUGCAUUUGUGACUGUAUAGCUAGAGUGCGGCAGAGGGGGAUGGAAUUCCGCGUGUAGCAGUGAAAUGCGUAGAUAUGCGGAGGAACACCGAUGGCGAAGGCA